UUAGGAAUCUUCCGCAAUGGGCGAAAGCCUGACGGAGCGACACCGCGUGAAGGAUGAAGCCCUUUCUGGGUGUAAACUUCUGUUGUGAGGGACGAAAUUUUUGACGGUACCUCACGAGAAAGCACCGGCUAAUUCUGUGCCAGCAGCCGCGGUAAGACAGAAGGUGCAAGCGUUACUCGGAAUUACUGGGCGUAAAGCGUCUGUAGGUGUCUUGCCACGUCUGGUCACAAAAUGCGGGGCUCAACCCCGC
rnacentral:rRNA from 1 species